UGCAACUACAACAAAAAUAGUUGACACAAUAGCUAAGUCUAAAAAGUAAAGGCAAACAAAAUAAAAAAAAUCCCAAGAUUAGCAUCAAGUAAGCCCUAAGUUAGUCUUGGAGCAAACUUUGCUUAAAAACAAUAGAAAACCUCUUGCAGUACACCAAAAGGUAACACAAAUGUAGACGAUAAGUUGAUUUUAUUUUAUGCUAAAAUAAUUCAUAAUUCAAAGUUGAAGGUUUCUGUGAACUGCACCUUUAAAUGUCAUCACGGCGAGUCAACUCAUUAAUAUUCAUGUUUCAGGACAAAGACAAAUCAGCAGACGGACAUUUGAUGACGUCAACAAACAGUUUUUACUACUUAUAAAAUAAAAAUGGCGUCGUCGUUGUUUUUCUGACUCCGUAUCGACGACAGUGUUAGUGAGUUAAUGGCGGUGAAAUACGUUGUUGGUUUAAGUUAAGUAUAAAGAGGGACAGCUUUACUGACUCUUGUGUUCGUGUGUUUCUUUAUUUUUACCCCUCUUUCUCAGAAAAUAAUACCUGAUAAACUAACGUUCACCACAAGUACCGCCGUAGCUGUCACUACGUCACACCACCUCUACGUAAUUUCAUUUAUUGAUUCAUUUAUUUCCAAAGAUGAUCAAUAUGGUCUGAAUAAUGACCUCGACUUGAUGACGUUUUCUACAGUUCCGGUUCAAAACGACUACAUUGUGAUACUCUGUCUUAACGAUUAAAUAUUAAAGUAAUGGCUUUACAGUAGGACCAACUGAACGGCGUCGUAGAAGGCUUCUAGCUGCACUUUAGCAUCUGGGACACAAGAGGGCAGUGCUGCUACAGCUGGCCGUGGAGAAAAUUGGCGUCCGCCGGUCCAGUGCAUACUUCUCAAAGUGAGGCCGGACCCUCCUGCGGGCCACGUAAAGAUCGGUUCUAGCACGGUAGAACUCAGUAGUACAAUCAUACAGGUGACCUGAAGACAACACUGCUGCUCUACCUAGGAGACAUUCUUCUUCUUGAGGUAAGAGGACAGUGACAUUAUGUUGUUUUGCUGUUAAAGGUCCAUAGCAAAGAGGCUGAAGGGCCACACGUGGUUCAGGAGCCACAGGUUUGUGAAUUUGUGAAAUACCUCUAUUUGUGUAUUUUAAUCAAAUUCAGAACAAAUCUACAUUCUUGCCUUAAAGUGUUAAAGCCGAAGCUGGUCAGAAGUUCCAAGAACUCCACCGUCCUCAAGUCAAACUCCCAGACGCAGUGAUGCUGAGGAGGAGAAGAAGAAGGAUCCACCUGAGAAAGACGGCAGACGUCAGUCCAAGAGGAAAGUGUUGUUUUCACACUCACUGCACAAACACCAAACUGACAAACGGCCACAGACUCCACCAUCCAUCAUCCCCGUCUCCACCUGUGGACUCAUGAGAACAAAGAGAGAGGAACACCACUUUCUGGACUUCAGACAAAAACCUGACUCGACUUCCUGGA